AAAAAAAAAAAGAUACACAGUUGACUCAUCGCAUUUACGGGUUCUACAUCCACAGAUUCAACCAACUACAGAUAAAAAAUAUUAAAACAUAAAAAAAACUUAAACAUACAGUGUGUCAGCUAUUUACAUAAUAUUUAUAUUGUACUUGGUAUUAUAAGUAAUCCAGAGAUGAUUUAAAGUGUACAGGAGGAUGUGCCUAGAUUGUGUGCAAAUACAACACUAUUUGAUGUAAGGUAGUUGAGGAUCCACAGAUGUUGGUACCAAGGGAGGCUCUGGAAUCAAUCCCCAUGGACACGUAGGGCCAAGUGUACUUUACAACCACAUGGUGGACACUUCCAUUUUUUUUCUGCUGCCAUAAUUGGGCAUAUAACAAUCAUGUCUCUUAUCUAUAACUGUUAAAAUAAAACUUGAGGCAUCGUCUAUAAGAAGCAUCACGUAUGAGAAGUAUCAUCUGUAAAUGAUAAAAUCUUUGAUUUCUCUCUCAAAGGUCAUAUUUAAAGAAUUUAUAUGCAGCUUAGGUUGAAAAAUAAUAAAUGCGCUCUAAAAUAGAAUACCUUGUUGAAUAGGAGAAAUUUAUGACACCUUUUUUUAUGACUGAUUUUUAAAUAUAGAGUAGAAUUUUAAAACUGAGUAUAAAAAUAUAAAGUAGAAUUCUGAAGCUCAUUUUAGAAAAGUGAGUAUAUCGGUAAAAGUAAAACCUCAGAGACCUUGGAAAAUAUUAAAGUUCAUAUUUUAUGGCAAAAAUUUUAUUGAGAAAAUUUUCUCAAAAUUCAGCAAGACAUACCAACUAUAAUCAUGCUGUUGUAUCUUUAUUAGAUAAUCAUAAAAUAUAUUUAUUUUAAUAGGUAAUUAUGCCUGUGUUGCUGUGUGUACUUUGACUCCAUACCAUGCAAAUACACCUAUAAAAUAAUUAUCUUCUUUAAAUACUAGGAUUUUCUCUCUUGUUUGUUGCCAAAAUGUUUUUCUCAUACUCCCAAUGUUAAAAUCACCCAUUAUUAUAACUAUUUGUUUGCAUAUUCGAUUCCUCUCUUACUCUUCCAGAAGUUCAGUUAUUCAUUAAAACAUUUGACAGUGUUUGUUACAUAAUAAUUUUAAUCAGAAACUACAUAUUUUAUAUCCGGAGCUUUAAAAUUAUGUCUGGUCAGCUAUACUGUUGAAAAUAGAAAUUGAUUUACUUACUAUUUUAUUGUAGUUUCAUACUUUUUACAAUGGCUAGUUUUAAAAAGAGGCAACUUGCACACAAUUGAAGUGGAUCAACCCCUCUUAACCAGUUGUGGCUAUAAAGAUUGACAGCAGUGGGUGGUCAGCCUUCCUUUCAUUCUUCCAUGUACACAGAAAUGUCAUCAGGAUUCAGUUACUUCUAUGUCAACAUGGAAUUAUGUAAUCUGCUCUCAAAAUUCAAAAGACUACCAACAUGUAUUAAAAUGUCGAUCAAGAAUUCAUAUAUACAUUUCAAGAAUAUGUUGAAUUAACAGAUGAAAAAAACUCCUUAGAAAAAGUGGUCAAAUAUUUCAAGUGAAGUUUGGUGGGGAAGUAAAAUCUUUAAGAAAUUACUAUGCAUCAUUGUCAGUUAAGUGCAAUAUAAAAUGGACAUACAUAAAUGAAAAAGCCAGAAUAAAUAAAGUUGACAGAGAAAUUUAAAAGAAGCAAGAAGCCGUUUUCCACACCCAUACCCUGGUUGCACAUUGACCACACACUCCAAAAUAGGGAGGAAAACCGAGACAACACCCUGAAAGAAAACAAAACCAGAAACAGCACUUUACAAGAAAUUCUCCAGAAUCUUAUAAUACAAAGACAUUUUCUACAACUCAGAUCUCCUUUCCAGAUUAGCCUAAUUUCUUUUUAUUUCAAGAAAUGUGCUUCUGAAUUAUCAAAUAAACUCUCUCAAUCUCUGCUUCUGCCUGAAGUUGAAUGGAUGAAACAACUAAAAAUCUGAAGAUUUUAUAAGAUUUCCAUAUGCUGUAGACCACAAGGACGAAGGCAGUUGUUGUCCUACCUGGAAGCAGGCAGUGCCUUGACUCAUUUGCUCCAGACCCUGUCUCUGACAUGCUUGGCAGACAUUCUCCCCAGAUGAGUCACUCCUGAGACCUGCAUUUGAGUGGAUCUUCCAUGUCCUGCAACCCUGAUUUCCACCUCAGCCAUUCUUACCCUUAUUACCUUAUCCAUGUCAUUAUUGAACUUGCUCCCUGCUAUAGACUUUGCAUGUGUGUGGACCUCCAAAAUUCCUAUUUUGAAAUCUAAUCACUGAUAUGCAAUAGAAUUAAGUGGUGAGGACUUUUGAGAGGUGACUGGGUCAUUGAUAUGGUUUGGCAGUGUCCCAUCCAAAUCUCAUCUUGAAUUGUAACUCCCACAAUUUCCACAUGUCAUGGGAGGGACCUGGUGGCAGGUGAUUGAAUUAUGGGGGCAGCCCUUUUCCUGCACUGUUUUUGUGGUAGUGAAUGAGUCCCAUGAGAUCUGAUGGUUUUAAAAAGGGGAAUUUCCCUGCACAAGUUCUUCUCUUGUCUGCCACCAUGUGAGACGUGCCUUUCACCUUCUGCCAUGAUUGUGAGACCUCCCCAGCUACGUGGAACUGUAAGUCCAAUAAAUCACUUUCUUUUGUAAAUUUCCCAGUCUCAGGUAUGUCUUUAUCAGCAGUGUGAAAACAGACUAAUACAGUCAUGAAAGUGGAGCCCUUAUGAAUGUGAAUAGUGCCUUAUUAAAACAGGCUUGAGGAAACUUGCUCACCCAUUUCACCAUUUGAGGACACAGCUAAAAGGGGCCAUCUAUGAGGAACAGGCUUUCACCAGAUGCAAAAUCUGCUACCUUAAUCUUUGACCUCACAGAUUUCAGAAUUGUGAGCAAGACAUUUCUGUUGUGUAUAAAUGACCUAGCGUUAGGUAUUUGUUUAUGACAGCCCCACCAGACAAAUACACUCCCCAGUGCCCCAUCUCAUCAACAGCCAUAG
rnacentral:lncRNA from 10 species